ACCCUAAAAUGUUCUCGCUCGUGUCUAAUUUCUACUAUGAUUUGAAACAAUCAUAGACUCUCCAACUUUUUUUUUUUUUUUUUGGUGAUCAAUCUACCUCCAACUUUAACUAUCUCUUCCUAUGCUCUCUCCAACUCAUUGUCACAAUUUGGAUCAAAGCUUAAUAAAUCUCAAUUGCUUCCUUGAAUGUAAGGUUAUCACUCACUAAUACUUUUUUGAUCAAGUAAAUAAUGAUCUCUCUGAUCAAGUUGGCGUUAAGUUGACUGAUCUUGCUUCGGUUACUCGCUUGCGAAGAUAUGUUUCAGAUGACCGAGAUCGAAACUCACUGUCACAAUUUGGAUCAAAGCUUAAUCGAUCUUAAUCGCUUCCUUGAAUCCAAGGUUAUCGCUCACUAAACCUUUUUCGAUAAAGUCAAUAAUGCUAUCUCUCUGAUCAAGUUAACGUUAAGUUGACUGAUCUCACUUCAACAACUCGCUUGUGACGAUAUGUUUCAGGUUCUUUUACUUCCUCUAUUUAUAUAUACGUGAAAUAGAGUUUGGAUGUGUACUUAUGCGUGGAUGUAUUGCAUGUUUAUUGAUUGUUAUAGAGACUGGAAUAUGAAGUACUACAGUUUAAAUUGUGCAUUUGUUAUUGAAUUCUUGUAUGCCAUUGGACAUGUGUGUAGAUGGGGGGACGAAACCCGAGCAGAUUGUUGGGCGAGGAGUUGUUGUUGCUGGCCAACAAGGUGGGGUGCUUGGAUGGAGUUCAAGUGAUUUUUGUUAGGUGCUUUUCUUUUACUUGCUUUUGAAAAUUAUGGUGAAUGGCUUUGGUAACAAAUAACGAGAAUUAGACGCGUCAUGUGUUAACAACUAGUAAAUUUUUGGUACGUUUCUUAGGUAUUUAUCUUUAAUAGUUGAUCGAUGUCAAUCACAUGCCCAACAUUUCGUCUAGUUCAAGGUUUAUCAGAUUAGUUGGUGCACCUCUAAUACAAAAGCUUUUGGAUUGCAUACUUCUGAGGCUUCCAAGAGGCAGAAGGAUUGACUGCCUUACAAGAUGACGGUCCACUUGAACUUUCACUGUGGCAAAUUCUAGUCAGCUGUAUAACCAAAGCUAGCAACCCAUUACUGCACAAUUAUACACAAAACUAGUAAAGGCCUUUUUGCUGAAAGCAAGUUCCACCCUGGAGUGCCUCCACCUAGAACCCAUGCAUUUAGCUCAAUCAUGUCUCCACCUGAAUUCUUUGGUCCACCAACAAUGAUGAGCAUGUCUCCAUAUGUCCUAAAAGCUAAACCCCAUUCAUUCAUUGAAUCUACUCGCUCAGGCAAUAUACUCUUUUCACAGCAUCAAUUGAAGAUGAUGCCACACCUACAGUUCAUGUAGGGUAUCACAGUCCAUGUAUUUGUUUUUAAAUCACACAUCUCUUCACAUGAAGGCAUACUGGGAUUGGCACAGAGACCCUAGUAUGCUUUUAUGUGAGGAGGUGUGUGAUUUAAAAACAAGGACAUGGACUGUUAUACCCUAUAUGGACUGUCGGUGAGGCAUCACCUUCAAUUGAUGUUGUGAAAAAAGAGUGGAUCGCCUAAGGAGUAGAUUCAAUGAGUGAAUAGGGUUUAGCUUUUAGGGCAUGUGGAGACAUGCUCAUCAUUUUGGUAGACCAAGGAAUUUAGGUGGAGGCAUGAUAGAGCUAAAUGCAUGGGUUUCAGGUGAAGGCGCUCCAGGGUGGAACUUGCUUUCAGCAAAGGCCUCUGCUAGUUUUGCGUAUAAUUGUAUCGUAAUGGGUUGCUAGCUCUGGUUAUCCAACUGAUUAGAAUUUGCCACAGACAAUUCAAGUGGACGUGGUUCCAGACUACAGGACCUCUUUACUGUCAUGUUUAGCAGGUUCAGAUGAAAGAUUGUGUCCUACUUUAGUCUGUGAUAAGAAGCUCCUUAAUAGCUUGUAAAUUGGCUGCAAAUGCUAUACGGGCCUAAAGCAAAAGGCAAAUGAUUCUAUAAUGAGGUAUGUGGUACAUGUUUUGUCAGAUUUUUUCUCCAUGCUAACUCUGAAGCCUUCUCUUGUUUGUAAACUAUUUGUUUUAACAUCAUUUUCGUUCAUUCUUGUCGGAGUAUACUUGUACUGUUUACUUGCAAUAAAUAAUAAUAUACCCAUCUUUUCAUCAUGUUCUUAUACUUGCAGGCAAAAAAUAAAUAACUCUGUUGCACGUUUUUGUUACGACUUAACUGGACAUCUAUUCCUAAUGUGCAGAAUAAUUAACUGAUAUCACGUAUAUCUUUUUCAGGCAGCAUUGAUUAUCUGAUAGCAGUUUUGUUCACAGGCCUCAGCUCAUAUAUUUUACUAUGCCUGUUAAUCGCCAGAAAUGCUUGUUUGAUUUGAUUUUAGCAUGUAACAAUGGCUGCAGUGACACAUACAUACGCAAAAGAAGUAAAAGCUUGGCAUAUCUGAGGAUGGUGGAGAUGGAAUUUUGUGCCCAUGUGCAGAGAGAAAAGCCAAAGAGGAAGUUGCCUUGCCUGGUCUUCUCUUUGAUAUUUACUAUUCCAAUUAAAAAAUUUACUCAAUUCCUAGUCGAUCACAAUUGAAAACAACAACAUAUGUAGAUAUAUUUACAUUCAUAUAAUGUAUGAUCAGGAUCAUCCUUCAUAGUUUAUGUAAAUAUUUGUGUUGAAUAAAAAAUGAAUGAUAUUUUUGUACUUUUA